AAUAAUGAUAUGAGCAUUUAGAGCAUCUAAACUAACAGCUUGACUUUAUGCAUGAGAAUGAUUCAGUUAUAAGCAGCUAAUAAGCUAUAAUUCAAAACAAAAUACAAUUCUUAUCCCUUCCAAUAUCUUACAGUGCGAUACCAUGUUGUGGUCAUCCCUACGCUAUUGCACUGCUAUCCAUGCACACAGACCAGGCAUAACGUUAUGACCACCUGCCUAAUAAUGUGUUGGUCCCCCUGCUAAAUCAGUUCUGACCCAUUGAGCAUUAAAAGCAUUAACUUCUUCAGCAAUUUGAGUUACAGGAGCUCGUCUGUUGGAUCGGACCACACGGACAAGCCUUCGCUCCCCACACGCGUCAAUUACCCUCGGCCGCCCACGGCCGUCUCACCGGUUCACCACUGUUCCUUCCUUGGACCACUUUAGAUAGAACUUGACAACUGCAGAUUGGGAACAGACCAUGAGAGCUGCAGUUUUGGAGAUGCUCUGAGCCAGUCGUCUAGACAUCACAAUUUGCCAAACUCGCUCAAAUCCUUAUGCUUGUCCAUUUUUCCUGCUGCUAGCACAUCAACUUUGAGAACAAAAUGUUCACUUGCUACCUAAUAGAUCCCUAUAACUAACAGGUGCCAUGAUGAUCAGAUAAUCAGGUGUUGUUUACAUCACUUGUCAUAUUGUCAAUGUCAAUGUUUUGCCUGGUCUGUGUAUAUACAAUCCAUCAAUGUGAUUGGACGAGUAAUGUUACAAAAGUGCUUAUAUUUAAUAUAAUCUCAAUGGAAUCAUCUUUAACAGGAAUGUAGAACUAGUAAGCCAGCAUGCUGUAAGCAGAGUGUAACUUAAUAAA